rnacentral:rRNA from 1 species
GACGAACGCUGGCGGCGUGCUUAACACAUGCAAGUCGAACGGAAAGGCCCUGCUUUUGUGGGGUGCUCGAGUGGCGAACGGGUGAGUAACACGUGAGUAACCUGCCCUUGACUUUGGGAUAACUUCAGGAAACUGGGGCUAAUACCGGAUAGGAGCUCCUGCUGCAUGGUGGGGGUUGGAAAGUUUCGGCGGUUGGGGAUGGACUCGCGGCUUAUCAGCUUGUUGGUGGGGUAGUGGCUUACCAAGGCUUUGACGGGUAGCCGGCCUGAGAGGGUGACCGGGCAAAAUGGGAAUGAGAUACGGGCCAGACUCCUACGGGAGGCAGCAGUGGGGAAUAUUGCACAAUGGGCGGAAGCCUGAUGCAGCAACGCCGCGUGCGGGAUGACGGCCUUCGGGUUGUAAACCGCUUUCGCCUGUGACGAAGCGUGAGUGACGGUAAUGGGUAAAGAAGCACCGGCUAACUACGUG